UACGGGGGGGGCAAGCGUUGUUCGGAAUUACUGGGCGUAAAGGGCCCGUAGGCGGCCAACUAAGUCAGACGUGAAAUCCCUCAGCUUAACUGGGGAACUGCGUCUGAUACUGGAUGGCUUGGAUCCGGGAGAGGGAUGCGGAAUUCCAGGUGUAGCGGUGAAAUGCGUAGAUAUCUGGAGGAACACCGGUGGCGAAGGUGGCAUCCUGGACCGGUAUUGACGCUGAGGAGCGAAAGCCAGGGGAGCAAACGGG
rnacentral:rRNA from 1 species